rnacentral:rRNA from 1 species
AACGGACGCUGGCGGCAGGCUUAACACAUGCAAGUCGAGCGCCUCGCAAGGGGAGCGGCAGACGGGUGAGUAACGCGUGGGAACGUACCCUUUACUACGGAAUAGCUCCGGGAAACUGGAAUUAAUACCGUAUGUGCCCUUUGGGGGAAAGAUUUAUCGGUAAAGGAUCGGCCCGCGUUGGAUUAGCUAGUUGGUGGGGUAAAGGCCUACCAAGGCGACGAUCCAUAGCUGGUCUGAGAGGAUGAUCAGCCACAUUGGGACUGAGACACGGCCCAAACUCCUACGGGAGGCAGCAGUGGGGAAUAUUGGACAAUGGGCGCAAGCCUGAUCCAGCCAUGCCGCGUGAGUGAUGAAGGCCUUAGGGUUGUAAAGCUCUUUCACCGGAGAAGAUAAUGACGGUAUCCGGAGAAGAAGCCCCGGCUAACUUCGUGCCAGCAGCCGCCGUAACAC